CUACGGGGCGCAGCAGUGAGGAAUAUUGCACAAUGGGGGGAACCCUGAUGCAGCAACGCCGCGUGGAGGAUGGCGCAUUUCGGUGUGUAAACUCCUUUUAUAUGUCAAGAAAAUGACGGUAGCAUAUGAAUAAGCACCGGCUAACUCCGUGCCAGCAGCCGCGGUAAUACGGAGGGUGCAAGCGUUACUCGGAAUCACUGGGCGUAAAGGACGCGUAGGCGGGUUGGAAAGUCAGGUGUGAAAUCCUACAGCUUAACUGUAGAACUGCACUUGAAACUUCUAAUCUAGAGUAUGGAAGGGGGAGAUGGAAUUAGUGGUGUAGGGGUAAAAUCCGUAGAUAUCACUAGGAAUACCUAAAGCGAAGGCGAUCUCCUGGAACAUUACUGACGCUAAGGCGUGAAAGCGUGGGGAGCAAACAGGAUUAGAUACCCGUGUAGUC
rnacentral:rRNA from 1 species